GACUCCAUGGCGCAAUGGUAGCGCGUUCGCCUCCAGAGCGAAAGGCUGGGUGUUCGAGUCACUCUGGGGUCA